GACCGCGUGGAGGAGUGAAGGUCUUCGGAUUGUAAACUCCUGUCAUCGGGGAGUAAGACCUGGGCGUGAAUAGCGCACAGGGUUGAUAGUACCCGAAGAGGAAGGGACGGCUAACUUCGUGCCAGCAGCCGCGGUAAUACGAAGGUCCCAAGCGUUGUUCGGAAUCACUGGGCGUAAAGGGAGCGUAGGCGGCGUGGUAAGUCAGAUGUGAAAUCCCGGGGCUCAACCCCGGAACUGCAUCCGAUACUGCCGUGCUUGAGGGUUGGAGAGGUAGCUGGAAUUAUCGGUGUAGCAGUGAAAUGCGUGGAUAUCGAUAGGAACACUCGUGGCGAAGGCGAGCUACUGGACAACAUCUGACGCUGAGGCUCGAAGGCUAGGGGAGCAAAAGGGAUUAGAUACCCCUGUAGUCCUAGCAGUAAACGGUGUGCGCUUGGUGUGAGGGGAUUCGACCCCCCUUGUGCCGGAGCUAACGCGUUAAGCGCACCGCCUGGGAAGUACGGCCGCAAGGCUA
rnacentral:rRNA from 1 species